rnacentral:rRNA from 1 species
AUUGAACGCUGGCGGUAGGCCUAACACAUGCAAGUCGAACGCGAAAGUCCUUCGGGAUGAGUAGAGUGGCGGACGGGUGAGUAACGCGUAGGAAUCUAUCCUGUAGUGGGGGAUAACGUUUCGAAAGGAACGCUAAUACCGCAUACGCCCCAAGGGGGAAAGCGGGGGAUCUUCGGACCUCGUGCUAUAGGAGGAGCCUGCGUCGGAUUAGCUAGUUGGUGAGGUAAAGGCUCACCAAGGCGACGAUCCGUAGCUGGUCUGAGAGGAUGAUCAGCCACACCGGAACUGAGACACGGUCCGGACUCCUACGGGAGGCAG